rnacentral:rRNA from 1 species
UACGAAGGGGGCUAGCGUUGUUCGGAAUCACUGGGCGUAAAGGGCGCGUAGGCGGCCGAUCAAGUCGGGGGUGAAAGCCUGUGGCUUAACCACAGAAUGGCCUUCGAUACUGUUUGGCUUGAGACCGGAAGAGGUUAGUGGAACUGCGAGUGUAGAGGUGAAAUUCGUAGAUAUUCGCAAGAACACCAGUGGCGAAGGCGGCCGACUGGUCCGGUUCUGACGCUGAGGCGCGAAAGCGUGGGGAGCAAACAGG